UACAGAGGUCCCGAGCGUUGUUCGGAUUUAUUGGGCGUAAAGGGUGCGUAGGCGGCGGAGUAAGUUGGGUGUGAAAUCCCGAGGCUCAACCUCGGAAUUGCAUUCAAUACUGCUUCGCUCGAGUACUGGAGAGGAGGCUGGAAUUUACGGUGUAGCAGUGAAAUGCGUAGAUAUCGUAAGGAAGGCCGGUGGCGAAAAGCGAGCCUCUGGACAGUUACUGACGCUGAUGCACGAAGGCCAGGGGAGCAAACGGG
rnacentral:rRNA from 1 species